ensembl:lncRNA
CCCCCCGUCCCCUUUUACCCCCUCUCCUCGCUUUGGCCCUCCCCCGUUCGGCGGCCGACGGCGAUCCUUGGCGUCCCGAAGCUCCUGCCCUCCUCCUCCUGGGUCGUUUGGCUUCGUUCGAAGACCCCAGCCCCACUUUUGCAUCCCCUCCAGUCAUUACGGGAUUUCUUCGUUAUCUGACGGGGGUCCCGGAUCCUUCACCCCGCGCUUUUCGUUUGCUGCAACGUUUAAUGGGGCAGCCGGCCCUUUUGGGGUCGUUGGUGCAGGGUUACGUUCCGUCCCUCAUCCAUUCGUGGUUGGUUCUGGGUUUGGAACCGGGUGAAGCAGAGGAGGUGGCGAAACCCACAGUGGGGCGGCGGGAUCGAGGGCGGGGGGGGGCGUAUGAAGAACGGGGGCUGUGGGGUCGAGAACGGGGGCAGGAUCGAGAAGGGGGGCUGCAAGGUGGAAAACAGGGGCUGUGGGAUCGAGAACGUUGUCAGCAGGAUCAAGAACAGGGGCUCCAAGAUGAAGAACAGGGGCUCCAAGAUGAAGAACAGGGGCUGCAGGAUCAAGAACGUUGUCAGGAGGGUGAAGAACGGGGGCAGGAUCGAGAACUGGGGAUGCAGGAUCGAGAAUGGGGGCAGUGUGAUCUAGAACAUUGUCAACAGGGUGGAGAACUGGGGCAGGAUCAAGAACUUUGUCGAUUGGAUGGAGAACGUGAACGGUGUCAACGGGAUCGGGAACAUCAAGGGUGUCAGUGGGGUCAGGAACGUUGUCAACGGGAUCAAGAACAUCACCAGGGUCAACGGGAUCAAGAACAUCGCCAAGGUCAAUGGGAUCGAGAACGUUGGCGACGGGAUCGGGAACAUCAGCGGUGUCAAGGGGAUCCAAAAUGUUGCCAACGGGAUCGAGAACGGCAGCUUUGGCAGCGGGAUCAAGAACAGGGCCUGCAAUGCCAACGGGAUCAAGAAUGUCAUCAAUGGUGUCAAUGGGACCAAAAACGGGGACAGCGGUGCCAGCGGGAUGGAGAACGAAGCCAGCAGUGCAGUCUGGAUCUAGAACGUCGGUCACCGGAUCGAGAACGUCGCCAACAGUGUCAGUGGGGUGGGAAAUGUCAGCGGCGUUGUCUGGUGGAUCAAGAUGGCUGCCAGUGGUGUCAAUGGGAUCGAGAAUGGGGUCAGGAUGGGGCCCAAGGGGAUCGGGAACAUCAGUGGGGUGGAGAAGGGGGUCGGCAGGAUCGAGAACGGCAUCAAGGGGGUCAAGAACGUCAAGUGGGUGUGGAACGGCGUCAUCAGGGUGGAGAACAUUGGGGGUGGUGCCAGUGGGAUGGAGAACAGCGUCAGUCGGAUCUAGAACGGCGUCAGGGGGGUCGAGAACAUCAAGCAGAUGGAGAAGAGCAUCAACGGGAUCGAGAACGGGGCCAGCAAUGGCAGCAGGAUGGAGAACCAUGUGGAGCAGAUCUGGAACGGCGCCUACAGCAUCAAGAGCCGCGUCAACUGGAUCUAGAAUGGCGUCAGCAGGAUCCAGGAGCACGUCAGGCAGAUCUAGAACGGCAUCAAGUGGGCGUAGAACAGCAUCAAGUGGAUGGGGAGUGGUGUCAGCAGUGUCAACGGGAUCGAGAACCACAUCGAGCAGAUCUAGAACAGCGCCAACGGGAUCCAGAAGUGAGUCGGCUAGAUCUAGAGCAGGAUCUAGAACAACAACAACUGGAUGAAGAACGGUGUUGGCGAUGUCAACGGGAUCAAGAACCGCAUCAAGCAGACCGAGAACGGCAUCAGGCAGAUCUAGAACGGCACCAACAGCAUCCAGAAUGGCACCAAAUGGAUCUAGAACAGCAGCAAGCAGAUCUAGAACUGCAUCGACCGGACCUAGAGCAGCAUCAGCGAUGUCAAGAGGAUCGAGAACUGCAUCAAGCAGACCUAGAACGGCACCAACAGGAUCCAGAACAGCAUCAAAUGGAUCAAGAACCGCAUCAAGCAGACCUAGAACAGCACCAACGGGAUCCAGAAUGGCAACAAAUGGAUCUAGAAC